GCCAAAAAUGAAGUAUUUUUACGUGCAAAUCACAGAUAACUGAAAGCUUCACACAUUCAUUCUCUUCUUCUGCAACUUUCGGUGGUAGGUACCUUUGACCCUUCGCACCUGCAGAGAGUUCUACCUCUGCCUUGCCUGGGACGCCAGCUCGUUUGCCUGACGUUUGUGCUCCCUGAACAAACCCAAGGUCUUUCUCUCUUGCAAGAAUAUGCAAUCGUGCAAGGUUCAUUCCCCCUGAAGCUACUCACGCCAUUGAUCCCAUACGUCCGACGACGAUAGAUUUUUACUGUCGAUCCUGUCUAUCCAAUGAUAGCCUGGUUGUGAUUUAGGAGCAAGAGGUUGGAAUGCUCCCUUACUAUCAAGCUGAUGGAUUUUAUUGCUUACUGAGGAUUUGGACUAGCAGAAAAUGACUUGGAGGCUCAAGGUUCCCAGUGCCAACAGUGUGCAGAGCUUGAAUGCAGAUGUAGUAGAUCCAUACCAACUGGGUUAUGUGACUCUGUGUUUAGCUAGCCUCAGGUUGAGUGCUAUCAAUUGGUUGAGACUCAGGCUUUAGAACCCGCUAAUGCUGAUGUAGACUGUUUCUCUUUAUUCAUCCACUCAAAAAAAUUCUCUAUAUGGUUAUUUUGGAGAUCAGAAAGCUCAACUUGCAACCUGUUGACUGUGCAGUCAAUCUUUUAGCUCAAUUACUUGAGACGGGCUUUUGCUUACUGAAGCUUAGAUAAAACUCUAAGCAUGGGACAGCCCAUGGCUUCUUAAGGUUAGAUAAAAUACAAGUAAAGCAUAUCAUAUCAGCAUUCUUUAUCGGCACUCUCAUCAACCAGCCCAUGAUUUUCCCUUUAAAAACUAAUGCCCACCUCUCUUUAUGUUGAGGACAAUGUGGAUAAGAUAGGAGGAAGUGUUUGCAUCAGUGCUGACAUGUUGGUAGUGGCUCAUGGCCUCCCUU